rnacentral:rRNA from 1 species
AUGGCAUCUAGCGAUGGAAAUUAUCACCGUAGAGGUCCUUACUUCGAUGGUACUAAUUUUGCUAGUUGGAAGCAUAAGAUGAAAAUGCAUAUUCUUGGACAUAACCCCGCCGUUUGGGCAAUUAUUUGUAUUGGCUUGCAAGGUGAAGUUUUCGAUGGGAGAGAACCAAACCGUGAAGCUAAUGCAGAAGAAUUGAAGAUGCUGCAAUACAACGCUCAAGCUUGUGAUAUCAUCUUCAACGGAUUGUGCCCCGAAGAAUUCAACAAAAUCAGCCAUCUUGAGAAUGCAAAGGAAAUUUGGGAUACUUUGAUUGAUAUGCAUGAAGGUACCGAGUCCGUCAAGGAAUCCAAGUUGGAUGUGCUCCAAAGCCAGCUUGACAAGUUCAAAAUGAAGGAUGGUGAAGGUGUCGCUGAAAUGUACUCUAGGCUUGCUCUUAUCACAAAUGAGAUUGCCGGCUUAGGGAGAGAAGAGAUGACCGACAAAUUCAUCAUCAAGAAGAUCUUAAGAGCAUUGGAUGGAAAGUAUGAUACCGUGUGCUCAUUGAUUCAAAUGAUGCCAAACUACAAAGAUCUCAAGCCAACGGAAGUCAUUGGAAGAAUUGUUGCUCAUGAGAUGUCACUCAAGGAUAAGGAGGAACUUCACAACAAGUCAAGUGGUGCUUACAAAGCCUCAAGUGAAGCCCCCACAUCAUCAAGUGAGAAACAAAUCUUCAAUGAAGAAUUGAGCUUAAUGGUGAAGAACUUCAACAAAUUCUACAAGAGUAGAAGCAAAGAAAGAAGCUCCAAAUCAAGGUCUUACAAUGACAAGAGAUCUUCUAGUCGAGAGCGCAAUUGCUACAAUUGUGGGAGACCCGGACACUACUCCAAUGAGUGUACGGCACCCUACAAAAGAAGAGAAGAUUCUCCAAGAAGAAGGAGCAAAAGAGAAGAAUCACCACCAAGAGAGAGGAGGAGUAGAGAUGAUCGUUAUGAACGAAGACCCUCACGGAGAAGCAAGGAUUCCGAAAGGAAGGACAAGUCAUCAAGGAGCUACACAAAACGAACACAAGCUCAAGAUGAUCUCCCACCACAAGACCACAAGAACAAAGGCAAGGACAAGCUUCAAGAAGAGAUUGAUGCAUUCGAAGAAGCACCUAAAGCCUCGUUCAAGUGGGUCCCCAAGACUACGUCAAGUUCUACUUCAUCUAGUACAACUACAACUCCAAGGAUUCCCAUCAAGAUGAUGUGGAUCCCGAAGAAGAAGAACUAG